rnacentral:rRNA from 1 species
UACGUAGGGUGCGAGCGUUAAUCGGAAUUACUGGGCGUAAAGCGUGCGCAGGCGGUUUUGUAAGCCAGAUGUGAAAUCCCCGGGCUUAACCUGGGAAUGGCAUUUGGGACUGCAAGGCUGGAGUGCGGCAGAGGAGACUGGAAUUCCUGGUGUAGCAGUGAAAUGCGUAGAUAUCAGGAGGAAUACCGAUGGCGAAGGCAGGUCUCUGGGCUAGAACUGACGCUCAUGCACGAAAGCGUGGGGAGCAAACGGG